rnacentral:tRNA from 1 species
GUAAAUAUAGUUUAAAGAAAAUAUCAGACUGUGAAUCUGAAGAUAGGGUAUAAUACCCCUAUUUACC